AUGAGACAAGUACAAUUCCAGGAGUGUGUUGUGAAUUUCCACUUGAGCAGAUGAAUCCUUCACUUUGCUGGUAUAUUUUUCAAGGAACUCCAGAAGUGCAUGAGGAUAAUGCACAAAAAUGUUGAGAAAAUCAAUAGGAGAAGGCAACAUUGAAAUAAAUGCACCACUAGAUGCUCCCUUCUUAGGCAGUUCGGAUUCCUCUGUGCAAAGCCUCAUGAGUAUCUCA
rnacentral:misc_RNA from 1 species